ACUAAUGUACAAAAGAUAACUAUUCAAAAGCUGUCAAAAUAAAAUGGUGAAUUGAGUUUAAACCAGAAAAGAUAUAAACGUAAUCUUUGGGAUUCAACUUGUAAGGAUGUUCCAAGAACCACUUAGUUGGAGAAGGAAAACUGUGCCGUUCAUUAACAAGUCCUGUGCUUUAUAAUAUAUUAAAAAAUGGAAGGACGUGAAGAAAACAGGUUUGUAAAUGAUGUUGUACAUCAUGCAGAUAGCUCAGAAGAAGAAGUAAGUUUUUUUUUUAAUUACAAAAGUAAAUAUAUAAUAUAAUAUUUGUUGCUGCCUUGUUCUAUAUAAAUGUUUCUAACAUGCAGGUAACAUUUAUAUAUGUAUUAGUUUGAAUAAAUCAUUUUAAUAAAGUUACAUUAUAGGCAGGAAUGUUUGACUGGAAAUAUAAACGAUGUUGUACAUAAUGCAGAUAGCUUAGGCAAAAA